rnacentral:tRNA from 1 species
GGAUGGGUGGCCGAGUGGUUGAAGGCACCGGUCUUGAAAACCGGCAGACCCGCAAGGGUCUCGUGGGUUCGAAUCCCACCCCAUCCGCCA